rnacentral:rRNA from 1 species
AUUGAAUGCUGGCGGCAGGCCUAACACAUGCAAGUCGAGCGGAUGAAGGGAGCUUGCUCCUGGAUUCAGCGGCGGACGGGUGAGUAAUGCCUAGGAAUCUGCCUGGUAGUGGGGGAUAACGUCCGGAAACGGGCGCUAAUACCGCAUACGUCCUGAGGGAGAAAGUGGGGGAUCUUCGGACCUCACGCUAUCAGAUGAGCCUAGGUCGGAUUAGCUAGUUGGUGGGGUAAAGGCCUACCAAGGCGACGAUCCGUAACUGGUCUGAGAGGAUGAUCAGUCACACUGGAACUGAGACACGGUCCAGACUCCUACGGGAGGCAGCAGUGGGGAAUAUUGGACACUGGGCGAAAUCCUGAUCCAGCCAUGCCGCGUGUGUGAAGAAGGUCUUCGGAUUGUAAAGCACUUUACGUUGGGAGGAAGGGCAGUAAGUUAAUACCUUGCUGUUUUGACGUUACCAACAGAAUAAGCACCGGCUAACUUCGUG